UGGGGAAUAUUGCACAAUGGGGGGAAACCCGUGAUGCAGCGACGCCGCGUGAGCGAUGAAGUAUUUCGGUAUGUAAAGCUCUAUCAGCAGGGAAGAAAAAUGACGGUACCUGGCUAAGAAGCACCGGCUAAAUACGUGCCAGCAGCCGCGGUAAUACGUAUGGUGCAAGCGUUAUCCGGAUUUACUGGGUGUAAAGGGAGCGCAGGCGGCGCGGCAAGUCUGAUGUGAAAGCCCGGGGCUCAACCCCGGUACUGCAUUGGAAACUGUCGUGCUAGAGUGUCGGAGGGGCAAGUGGAAUUCCUAGUGUAGCGGUGAAAUGCGUAGAUAUUAGGAGGAACACCAGUGGCGAAGGCGGCUUACUGGACGAUUACUGACGCUGAGGCUCGAAG
rnacentral:rRNA from 1 species